UACAGAGGGCGCGAGCGUUGUCCGGAAUCACUGGGCGUAAAGGGCACGUAGGUGGCAUUGUAAGGCCGUGGUGAAAGUCCGGGGCUCAACCCCGGAUCUGCCGCGGCGACUGCAAAGCUUGGGCACCGUAGAGGCAGAUGGAAUUCCGGGUGUAGCGGUGGAAUGCGUAGAGAUCCGGAAGAACACCGGUGGCGAAGGCGGUCUGCUGGGCGGUGGACCCGCAAGGGUCCAAUAGCCGACACUGAGGCGCGACAGCGUGAGGAGCAAACAGG
rnacentral:rRNA from 1 species